UAUCCAGCGCGAGUUCAUAGAACUAUAUACAUGGUAAUAUGGUAUGAUGUACCUAUAGGUACGCAAUGCUAUUGAAAUCCAUUUCCGCAUUGUAAUAAUUCAACACAUUUUUCCCGUGGCUACAUACACCAUAAUAUGUCAUUGGCUCCAAAAUACGCGUCAUGUUACCAUCGUCUGUGCCACUAACGUUGCUACGUUGAUUUACAGCGGCGCUACGCGUAGUUGACUGUUCGUGACAUACAGAGCGCGGUUAUAGUGCGAUAUGCGAUUGAGACGACAGAAAAGAAGGAGACGACGAAAACGACGACGACGACGAUGUAAACUCCUCCGGCCAAAGACUGCGGAAGGCCGCUGAAUCGUAAUCAGUAGAAAAUUUGGACUUUGAAAAAUCUACCGAAUAACAGAACAAGUAUUUAUAGGUACCAACAUCAACAUUAGCACUACGUAUAGUAUAUAUAAUAAGGAUUAUUAUUGUAAUAUAGACUGACAUCGAAAAUAAUAAUAAUGUAAUUUUUUCGUUGCAUAAGUCACAUCAUUCCGAUCGUAAUUCAACACUAGGUAAUUAUUAUCAAUUAUAUAGCUAGUGAUAACUAGUUAACACAUAUUAAUAUAA